CAGCCGCCACGGUAAUACAGAGGGUGCGAGCGUUAAUCGGAUUUACUGGGCGUAAAGCGUGCGUAGGCGGCUUUUUAAGUCGGAUGUGAAAUCCCUGAGCUUAACUUAGGAAUUGCAUUCGAUACUGGGAAGCUAGAGUAUGGGAGAGGAUGGUAGAAUUCCAGGUGUAGCGGUGAAAUGCGUAGAGAUCUGGAGGAAUACCGAUGGCGAAGGCAGCCAUCUGGCCUAAUACUGACGCUGAGGUACGAAAGCAUGGGGAGCAAACAGGAUUAGAUACCAGUGUAGUCCCUGUCUCUUAUAA
rnacentral:rRNA from 1 species